AGCACGAUAAUUCAGAGGCAGAAUGUUGGGCUCAUACUAAGCACUGCUUUGUACGCACCCAAAAGUCGCUGGAUCGAAACCAGCUCGUGCUA